GACGAACGCUGGCGGCGUGCUUAACACAUGCAAGUCGAACGGAAAGGCCCUGCUUUUGUGGGGUGCUCGAGUGGCGAACGGGUGAGUAACACGUGAGUAACCUGCCCUUGACUUUGGGAUAACUUCUGGAAACUGGGGCUAAUAUCGGAUAGGAGCUCCUGCUGCAUGGUGGGGGUUGGAAAGAUUCGGCGGUUGGGGAUGGACUCGCGGCUUAUCAGCGUGUUGGUGGGGUAGGGGCUUACCAAGGCUUUGACGGGUAGCCGGCCUGAGAGGGUGACCGGCCACAUUGUGCUUGGGGUAGGGCCCAGACGGCUACGGGAGGCAGGGGUGGGGAAUAUUGGACAAUGGGCGGAAGCAUGAUGGAGGAUCGCCGCGUGCGGGAUGACGGCCUUCGGGUUGGAAACCGCUUUCGCCUGUGACGACGCGUGAGUGACGGAAAUGGGCAAAGAAGCACCGGCUAACUACGU
rnacentral:rRNA from 1 species